UGGGGAAUAUUGGACAAUGGGCGCAAGCCUGAUCCAGCAAUGCCGCGUGAGUGAUGAAGGCCUUAGGGUUGUAAAGCUCUUUCGCACGCGACGAUGAUGACGGUAGCGUGAGAAGAAGCCCCGGCUAACUUCGUGCCAGCAGCCGCGGUAAUACGAAGGGGGCUAGCGUUGUUCGGAAUUACUGGGCGUAAAGGGCGCGUAGGCGGCCUGUUUAGUCAGAAGUGAAAGCCCCGGGCUCAACCUGGGAAUAGCUUUUGAUACUGGCAGGCUUGAGUUCCGGAGAGGAUGGUGGAAUUCCCAGUGUAGAGGUGAAAUUCGUAGAUAUUGGGAAGAACACCGGUGGCGAAGGCGGCCAUCUGGACGGACACUGACGCUGAGGCGCGAAAGCGUGGGGGAGCAAACAGAUUAGAUACCCUGGUAGUCCACGCCGUAAACGAUGAAUGCUAGACGUCGGGGUGCAUGCACUUCGGUGUCGCCGCUAACGCAUUAAGCAUUCCGCCUGGGGAGUACGGCCGCAAGGUUAAAACUCAAAGGAAUUGACGGGGUCAUAGCUGUUUCCU
rnacentral:rRNA from 1 species